CGUAGGUGGCGAGCGUUGUCCGGAAUUAUUGGGACGUAAAGGGAGCGCAGGCGGGAAGGUAAGUCUAUCUUAAAAGUGCGGGGCUCAACCCCGUGAGGGGAUGGAAACUAUCUUUCUUGAGUGCAGGAGAGGAAAGCGGAAUUCCUAGUGUAGCGGUGAAAUGCGUAGAUAUUAGGAGGAACACCAGUGGCGAAGGCGGCUUUCUGGACUGUAACUGACGCUGAGGCUCGAAAGCGUGGGGAGCGA
rnacentral:rRNA from 1 species